AGUAGUGUUUUCUUGUUAGAA
rnacentral:siRNA from 1 species